UACAGAGGUCUCAAGCGUUGUUCGGAUUCAUUGGGCGUAAAGGGUGCGUAGGUGGCGCCGUAAGUCAGGUGUGAAAUCUCGGGGCUCAACCCCGAAACUGCACUUGAUACUGCGGUGCUCGAGUACAGGAGAGGAGAUUGGAAUUUACGGUGUAGCAGUGAAAUGCGUAGAUAUCGUAAGGAAGACCAGUGGCGAAGGCGAAUCUCUGGACAGUUACUGACACUGAGGCACGAAGGCCAGGGGAGCAAACGGG
rnacentral:rRNA from 1 species